UCGGCGAUGUGAGGCGGCUCCGCCAGCGCGGCUGCCCUCCCAUCCCCCCGCCAGCCCGGGAGGUAAGGGAGCGGGGCGGCCUGCCGCAGGCCUCGCCGGACGCGCAGUACGUCUCAAGAUGGCAGAAUUAUUUAUGGAAUGUGAAGAAGAGGAGCUAGAACCAUGGCAAAAGAGAGUGAAAGAAGUGGAAGAGGAUGAUGACGAUGAUGAUGAGCCAAUCUUUGUUGGGGAAAUCUCAAGCUCGAAGCCAGCUAGUACAUAUAUAUUGAACAGAGUCAACCUCAGCUCAUCACGAAGGGGGAUACAGAAUGGUGCACCCAGUAGAGGUACAGUUGCUACAUUCAAGCCUGACAGUCACCAUUAUGCGACACCUGCCUCCAGCCCCAGUGCCAUGCCUGUUUCAUCAGUCUUUCAGUCUGUAUCCAGACCUACAACUAGCUCUGUAGCAGUUCAGCCAUUGUCUAUACCAGUGAAUGUUUCAGGAACUUCACAAACACUGCAGAGACCAGUUGCUGGAUGUUUAUCAACACAACAGAUGCCUGGGUCAAGUUCUGGAAUAUCACAGCCUGUUAGCAGACCUGUAACCAUUCCAGUGACGACACAACCAGUAUCAAGAAAUAUCACAGUUCCGGUAGUGGCUCAACCUGUAUCCAGGCCAGUGACUACUGUAACAGCACAGCCUGUAAUACUCAAUCAGGAUUAUAUUAUGGAUUCUCCACCAGCUGCACCAGAUAAUACAUCUGGUAUACUGUUUGGUGUGAGACAGAACUCGGGAGUUCCACAGUACGAGACUGGGCCAGCAGUGAAUGUAACAGGUCUCAAUGAGAGUGUUUUUGUAUCUAAGCGUCCUGCUACUUCUGAUGGCAACAGUGUAACUCCAAAAAAGGCCAAGCCUAAUGAGGUUGGUGCUGGAAGCAAUUCAGCUGUUUCACCUACAGUUAACUCUCCAACAGUAACACCAUCACAAAAUGUAUCUUCGAAAGGUACAAAUGCUCCAUCAAGCACCAUUAAAAAUGGAGGACCUUUUCCACGAGCUUGUCCAAAGUGCAAUAUUCAUUUCAAUCUUAUGGAUCCUCUAAAAAAUCAUAUGAAGUAUUGUUGUCCAGAUAUGAUAAAUAACUUUUUCCUGGGAAUGGCGAAAACAGAGUGUGUGAGCACAACAAGCAAGACUGCUGAAUCUGAGAAAGGAAAAUUGAUUAUGUUAGUUAACGACUUCUAUUAUGGGAAACAUGAAGGUGACACCCAGCAGAUACAAAAGGAGCAGAAGACGCAUACGACGUUUAAGUGCUUCAGUUGUCUGAAAGUUCUUAAAAAUAACAUAAGGUUUAUGAACCACAUGAAGCAUCACUUAGAGCUUGAGAAGCAGAGCAGUGAAAGCUGGGAAAGCCAUACCACCUGCCAGCACUGUUACCGUCAGUUUCCCACCCCAUUCCAGCUGCAGUGCCACAUUGAAAGUACACACACGCCUUAUGAGUCAUCUACAAUUUGUAAAAUCUGUGAAUUAUCCUUUGAAACAGAGCAAGUUCUUUUGCAACAUAUGAAGGACAAUCAUAAGCCAGGUGAAAUGCCGUAUGUUUGCCAGGUAUGCAACUACAGAUCCUCAGCUUUUUCAGAUGUAGAAACACAUUUUAGAACAGUUCAUGAAAAUACAAAACAUUUGCUAUGCCCAUUUUGUCUCAAAGUAAUUAAAAUUGGAGCACCGUAUAUGCAUCAUUACAUGAGGCAUCAGAAAAAAGGAAUAUACCGUUGCACUAAGUGCAGACUGCAAUUUUUGACAUGCAAAGAAAAAAUGGAUCACAAGACUCAGCAUCACCGAACGUUUAGGAAACCCAAACAGUUAGAAGGAUUGCCUCCUGGAACAAAGGUGACUAUUCGAGCAUCUGUUGGAUCUCUUCAAUCAGGAUCAUCAGCUACAUCUUCUGUUAGUACAAGCAGUUCCACGUUUCAGUUAUCACCUAAAGCUAAAAAUACAACCACUAAAAAUCAUAACAAAUCUAAUACGAAUAAGUCAAAAGCAAAAUCAAAACCAACUACAUCAAAGAAGCAAAAUGCAUGGACCAACAGCAAAAAAAAAAAAGAAGUUACAAAUACGGCAUUGCAUAAUUUAAGGUAUCGUCUGGGAGCUCACAAAUGCAUUGAGUGUUACUCGGAAAUAAAAGAUUUUGCAAGCCAUUUUCCUGCUUAUGUCCACUGUAGCUUAUGCAGAUACAACACUAGCUGUAGCAAAGCCUAUGUGAAUCACAUGAUGAGUUUUCACAGUGCUCGUCCAAGUAAAAGAUUUUGGAUCUAUAAGAAGCAUUCAGAAGAGCUACGAGGUGUGACUGUAGUGUGUCUUAACUGUGAUUUCCUGACUGAUGUUUCUGGCUUAGAUAGCAUGGCCACACAUCUGAGUGAAAGCCACACUCAUACUUGUCAAGUUAUUAUAGAGAAAGUUUCUGUAGAUAUCCCAACUGCUGAACAAGUGUCUGAGGGAGUUGAAAGUGAGCAGGUAUCCUAUACUGCCUUGGCUCACUGACACAUCAUUGUGGACCAGAAAAUUGAACCCAGUCCAGCUUGGGAUUAUUUUGGGGUGGACAAAAAAGGGAUGGUUGGGAAAAGAUUCCAGCUGAGUUUCAGUACUUACCCAAAGAAGCUGUGGCAGUAACUCUUUGGUUGAAAGAAAACAUGACAAAUCGCUGGGAAGACCCUUGGUCAUGAUUUGAGCUCUGUGUGUGUGUGCAAAUAUACAUGAUUUUAAUAUGUGAGAGCAGGGGAAGCAAUGAGACUGCAUGAAUUUCAGAAGUAAGAAUACUUCCAUCCAUGCUUGGACUGUGCAUUUUAAAGUCUACGUGUUUCACUGACUCCAAAUCUCUUCCAUUAGUCCUAGGUGACUCCUCAUGUAUCAAAUAAAGUUUCAGAUCAACCUGAAUUUAGACUUUAAGGUGUCUAAAUUAAUGUUCUUACUUACCUGGCUUUUAUUCUGAGUCUCUCUGGUUUCAUGGCCAAUCCAUUCUAUUGAGUAUCUCAAUCAAGCUGAAAUUUUGUGCUCAGCUGCUACAUUUUGGGGGCCUUUUUUUUAAGGAAUUGACAAUUAAGGGGCAUUUUUUCCUUGUUCUUGACUAGAAGUUUAUUUUUAUGUAGAAUAAAGAAUCUUUGGAGAUUUCUAGAGAGAUUUCAAAAUUGCUUGAAAUUGCGGACCAGCAGGCUGUACUUACCGGAGAUUGUCACGAUCUUUGUUUUAUUUUCAUAAUGUUCUUUCCAGAAACGCUGUAGCUCCACAGAUGUAAGAAAGUACGUUGCCUUUGUUGCUGUUUGAGAACUAUUGGAUUUAAGAUUUCUUAUAUUCUAAAAGUGUUGGGAACAUCACAAGGCAAUAGUUUUCUAUGGUUUAGUAUCUAUUUAUGAAAAUUCUGCUAAUUACAAACUAGAAGGAACUACUUUUUAAAAACUAUUCCUAAACAGAAUUAAGUUGAGAAUAUAUGCCAGGAAUCCAAGAUAAACCAUAUUAACAUUUUCUGAUAACCACAUCUUUGUUAUAAACCCUGUUCACUUCCGAAACAGCAUAAACUAGUCAGUCUGAAUCUUUUUUUAUAAGCUAUAAAACAUGACGACAGAAAUCUGUCAGAAUUUGAUCAUGUAAAAUAAUGUUUAUAAUGUGUUUAAAACAAUCUACAGAUAUUGGAUCCAAUUGAUACCCAUUUAUUUUGGUGGCAAAACUUACAUUUAUUCAGGCAAGAACAACAGAAUGUUUUGUUCUUGGAUAUACAAUAUCUGAUUUAUUUGUGUCUAAAUUGUUCUGCUCUUUCAAGAGUGACUGGUUUUAGACAAAUUACUAUUUCCAACAUAUUUGCUUAAGUUCCUGCAGAAAAAUCAUGGAAGUAGUGAAGCUAAGCUAAAUAUUAGGUGCUGCAUCAUCUUUUACUGGUAUUGCUACUCAUGAUUAAAUACUUAAGAGUAUUUCAAGUCCCUGACCCAAAAAAUGUGCUGUCAUUUGAUUUACCCUGAUCAUUUUUCUUACUGUUAAUUAGAAUGAGCAUUGUUACAUUCUAUCAUAGCAAUGUUAUUUUAAAACAAUCCUUUUUUUUGUAGUUAUUUUGCCAUCUUUUAUUGCAAAUUAAGAUGUAAUGAUUAAAAUAGUUGUAAAUGGGUAUUUAUGCUACAGUCCAAGCUGUUGGUUAGCUGCUAGUGUAAUAUUCGUGUUACAAGGUGUUUAUGGUGUGCUGAAAGUAUGUGCUAAAAUUCGUUAAAAGGUCUGGUUUUAGCACUGCUUUCUUGGAUUAAAUUAGGAAAAUACAUGUGGUAGAUACCAAUCUAAUACUAGUAUACAUUUUUCAUAAAAUUUAAUUUGGUAAAGCUGUUUCUUCUGUGAAGUGUUUUAUACCUUGUAGACAACCAUUAAGAUUCGCUGAGGUCAUGAAUCAAUUUAUGAUUAAUAACAUUAUUUAAAUAUAACAGAGACAGCACCAUACUUCAGCAGAUUAAAUUUGCCUUUAAUGCACGAUCAACAAAGAAGAUACAGGCAUAAGCAGUUUUGAGGGUUUUGUUCAGUUUUUCUUUUUUUUUUAAUAGGAAACCUUAGAAAGGUUAGAUUUUAUAUUAGAACUGAUGACUUCACAAGGUUUUGUAGGAGACAUACUUCUUGCUAUCUCUGCGAUAGCAUUUUCUUAUAUGAACACAGAAAAUCAAUUUUAGUGAUGAUGUGAUAAGCUGUUUAAUUAAUGUGGUUUUAAAAGUCAAUAAAUUUAAAUAAUUUAUAGCUCAUCUAAUGUAUGGACUAUGCCUGUGAAGGUAUUUUGAGGAAGUAUCUCUUCCAAGUAGUAGUUGGAGGUCAGCUGCAAUGUUUUACAGUUGCCCUAAAAAGUAAACUACAGCUGUGUUCUGGUAUUUGGGUUAUGGUAGACAAUGAAAAGAAAACUGAUCUUGUUUUGCAGAAUGCUUUUGCUGGGUCAUAAUGUAGCUUUAUGCACUUAAUUGAGCAUUUUGGUUCUUAAAUACUGCAGUCAUGGUUUAAAAGGCCUUUGUGAUGAGGAGAUUAUUCCUUAUGCAGGAUUGCAGUAAGCUCUAGAAUAAAAGUAUUGCUAACGAUCUUAAGACUGCUGCUUCCUGGUUUUCAUGAGGUGAGAUAACUGGAACAGGUUACAUGAAACAAUUUUAUCUUACAAUUUCUGUAUACCAAAUAAAACACUUUAAAAUUCUGAAAUGUACUUUGGAACUCUGAAGUAUGUUUAAGCUCAAGAUAAGUAUCAACUUUAAAAAUUGAUUUCAGAUUACCAAGUUGCAUUCUUACUGUAAGUAUCUUCAUCCUUAUUUCUAUUUUAACCACACAGUAUUUUAAAACAUUGAAUCUUAAUUC